rnacentral:rRNA from 1 species
GUGGGGAAUAUUGGGCAAUGGGGGAAACCCUGACCCAGCAACGCCGCGUGAAGGAAGCAGGUUUUCGGAUCGUAAACUUCUAUCCUUGGUGAAGAUAAUGACGGUAGCCAAGAAGGAAGCCCCGGCUAACUACGUGCCAGCAGCCGCGGUAAUACGUAGGGGGCAAGCGUUGUCCGGAAUGCUUGGGCGUAAAGGGCGCGUAGGCGGCCUGGUAAGUCUGGAGUGAAAGUCGUGCUUUUAAGGUGGGAAUUGCUUUGGAUACUGUCGGGCUUGAGUGCAGGAGAGGUAAGUGGAAUUCCCGGUGUAGCGGUGAAAUGCGUAGAGAUCGGGAGGAACACCAGUGGCGAAGGCGACUUACUGGACUGUAACUGACGCUGAGGCGCGAAAGUGUGGGGAGCAAACAGGAUUAGAAACCCCAGUAGUCC